rnacentral:rRNA from 1 species
UACGUAGGUGGCAAGCGUUGUCCGGAUUUACUGGGCGUAAAGAGCGCGCAGGCGGUCGUUCAAGUCGCGUGUGAAAGCCCCCGGCUCAACUGGGGAGGGUCACGCGAUACUGAUCGACUCGAAGGCAGGAGAGGGUAGUGGAAUUCCCGGUGUAGUGGUGAAAUGCGUAGAUAUCGGGAGGAACACCAGUGGCGAAGGCGACUACCUGGCCUGUUUCUUGACGCUGAGGCGCGAAAGCUAGGGGAGCAAACGGGGAU